CCUGUUGUGUUCGAAAUAAUUAGGUUGUUUCAUUGAAGUUGUACGUGUGUCGUAUAUUAAAAUUUAAACUUCAUAAAUAUACUCUGACUAAAAGCAGUUUCCUGUAGAAAUGGCUGUGCAAGUUGUCUCUCUGUGGGGAUCAACGUGGUUUUCUGUUGGCGUCAUGACAAGUAACCAUAAUACAGAGACAUUAAUCACUCAGCAUGCUGAGAAAAUUCCCCGCUUUUUAUGGAAGGAUACACAGGAUCUCGUCACUCAUUUCUGUCCUGCGCAACAGAGAGUUUUCUAGCCAACGCAACCGAGAACCAAACUUCUACCAUACGAGUCGGCCCGGCCCGUCUUGACUAGUGGGGCGUCCGCUCGUCCGCCUGAGUGCCGUCUCUAAAAAGAAUACACUGUAUUUAACAGCCAGUAAGUUCACGUCUGCAGUCUUCGUAGUGUGUUUCGUAAUUUUCGAAGAAUAAUAUGAAAGCUUUGUACUGGACGCCGGCACGAAGUUCGCCAUCAAGCGGACAUUGGCGACGAUGGAUAGCGAGGAAGACCAGGUUUACCAUCUAUUCGAUUCUGUGUACGUUUUCCAAUAGUGCAGAUACUUUUGUCGAAAGCAGAAGCCAGAGGCUUCGAUGUUUGUGACAGAAAGAAAUGUUUCUCAGUUACCAGACGUCUGAGACGCUUCUCGAGAGGAGUUUAGAGAUACGAUUACACAGCAAUCAUUAUGUGGCAGAGAACUUUGAUGUUUCUUGCAAGUUUUAUUAGGCAAAUAAAUGAUUUUAACAG